GAUGAACGCUAGCUACAGGCUUAACACAUGCAAGUCGAGGGGAAACGAUAGAGAAAGCUUGCUUUUUCUAGGCGUCGACCGGCGCACGGGUGAGUAACGCGUAUCCAACCUGCCCAUCACUGGGGGAUAACCUUGCGAAAGUAAGACUAAUACCCAAUGACGUCCAUAGAAGACAUCUGAAAGGGAUUAAAGAUUUAUCGGUGAUGGAUGGGGAUGCGUCUGAUUAGCUUGUUGGCGGGGUAACGGCCCACCAAGGCGACGAUCAGUAGGGGUUCUGAGAGGAAGGUCCCCCACAUUGGAACUGAGACACGGUCCAAACUCCUACGGGAGGAAGCAGUGAGGAAUAUUGGUCAAUGGGCGAGAGCCUGAACCAGCCAAGUAGCGUGCAGGAUGACGGCCCUAUGGGUUGUAAACUGCUUUUAUAAGGGAAUAAAGUGAGCCUCGUGAGGCUUUUUGCAUGUACCUUAUGAAUAAGGACCGGCUAAUUCCGUGCCAGCAGCCGCCGUAA
rnacentral:rRNA from 1 species